GGGGAUAGGGACCGCGGGGGAGACAGGGACAGGCGUUACGACCAGGGUGGUGGUGGGCAUCAGUCUGGAAGAUACAACUCCUACAACCAGAGACCAUCACAUUACGGCCGCUACUGAACUCCUCUUACUGUGGAGUGACCUCACAUCUCUCCAACCCUGUUCCUAGAGGGAGAACCUCCUGUAGGUUUAAACUCCAACCCUGUUCCUGGAGAGAGACCCUCCUGUAGGUUUAAACUCCAACCCUGUUCCUGGAGAGAGACCCUCCUGUAGGUUUAAACUCCAACCCUGUUCCUGGAGGUAGACCCUCCUGUAGGUUUAAACUCCAACCCUGUUCCUGGAGAAACCCUCCUGUAGGUUUAAACUCCAACCCUGUUCCUGGAGAGAGACCCUCCUGUAGGUUUAAACUCCAUCCCUGUUCCUGGAGAGAGACCCUCCUGUAGGUUUAAACUCCAACCCUGUUCCUGGAGAGAGACCCU